rnacentral:lncRNA from 7 species
UUUCUCUCUCCAUCUAACCUGAAAAUCACGCAUUUUCACUACAAAAUACAUAUUAAUCAAAAUCACAUUUUCUAAAAAAAAAAAAAAAAAUUAACCCCCAAAUCAUGUAUUUUCUCAUCGAAAAUCCUGCUUUAACCUGGAAACCACGCAUUUUUACCACAAAAAUCCUCCAUUUAACAGAAAGUCAUGCAUUUUCUUGGAAAAACCCCCCAUUUAACCAAAAGUCACACAUUUUCUCUUCCAAAACCCCCCAUUUAACCUGGAAAUUACACAUUUUCUCUUGGAAAAUCCCCCAUUUAACGUGAAAAUCAUGCAUUCGCUCUACAAAAAUCCCCCGUUUAUCUCAAACAACACGCAUUUUCUCUUCCGAAAUCCCCCAUUUAACCCGAAAAUCAUGCAUUUUCCCUUCAACUACACCGAAUUUUACCUGAGAAUCAUGAUUUUUUUUCUUUGCAGAAAUCCCCUGUUUAACCCCAAAAUCAGCAUGUUCUCUGCCAAAAUCCCUCAUUUAAACAAAAAUCAAGCAUUGUCUCUGCAAGAAAUCCCUCAUUUAAAUGAAAAUCAAGCAUUCUCUCUGCAAAAAUACACAAUUUAAAUCAUGCCUUUUCUCUCCCCGUUACUCAAAAACAACGCUAACCCCAAAAGCACACAUUUUCUCCCUCAAAAAUCCCCUUUAACCCCCAAAUCACACAUUUUCUCUUGGAAAAUCCCCCAUUUACCCCAAAAUCAUGCUUAUCUCUCAAAAAUACCCCAUUAUCCCCCAAAUCACACAUCUUCUCUAGGAAAUCCCCCAUUUAACUCGGAAAUCACACUUUUGCUCUUCAAUAAUCCCCCAUUUGACCCCAAAAUCCAAACCAUUUUUGCUACAAGAAAUCCCCCCAUGUAUCCAAAAAAUCACGCGUUUCCUCUACAAAAAUCUCACAUGUAAACGAAAACUCAUGCAUUUCCUCUUCAAAAUCCCCCAUUUAACCAGUAAAAUGCAAUUUCUCUUCGAGAACCCCAUUAACCAAAAGAUGCAUUUUCCUUCAAGAACCCGAUCAUCGAAUAUCACAUUUUCUCUUCAAAAAUCUCCCAUGUAACCUGAAAAUCACGCAUUAUCUACGAAAUCACAC